AACGCAUAUUGCGCUCUUUGGUAUUCCGAAGAGCAUGCUUGUUUGAGUAUCAGUAAACACCUCAAAGACAUUUCUGAUUUAUUUUCUGGAAUGGCUUUGGACUUGAGCAAUCCCAACACCAGUCGUUUACGAUCGGCGGAGGGUUGCUUGAAAUGCAGGUGCAGCUGGACAUUCUCCUGAGCUAUAAGCAUAUCUAUUUAGUCCCGUCAAACGGAUUAUUACUUUUGCUGCAGCUAACAUAAAGGGAGUCUGACCGUAUUGGCUGACUGAUGCAGGAUUUCACAAGGGUUGGAAACGACUCUUGUAAAACUCGAUCUCAAAUCAAGUAAGACUACCCGCUGAACUUAA
rnacentral:misc_RNA from 3 species